rnacentral:siRNA from 1 species
UCUCUAUUUCUCUUUCCUCUCUA